CCGAGAAGAAGCAUCCACCACUUGCUGUUUUUCCCGGGCUACAGCAGCCUCUGUCCUCACUUAGGGAGAGGCAGACAGAAAGGACACAGUGACACACACGGAAAAGCCUCGGCAGGAGGGUCUCCGCUGCUCACGGGCUGGGGGUGAGUUUGUGCACACUCAUGGGUCACUCGUGAGGAACCGAGGAGCCAAGGAGGAGUUAGAACACACAGGCUACAGAGCAGUCCCACAAAGCAGCCAGUAUAUGCAGGCUCUGCCACCAGCCAAACAAUCCUUACAAGCUCAGAGAAAUCUCAGAAAGUUUGCUUUAUGGACAUGGACAGCUAUGCAAACCAACUAAAACUAAACUGUUUCAGAACCAAGAAUACCACAAG
rnacentral:lncRNA from 1 species